rnacentral:lncRNA from 1 species
CUAAACCGUUUAAAAAAUCAGUACUCAACAACCCAUCCUUGAGCCUAUUAUACAUCCACUGUCGAUUGGCAUUCAUUUUCCUACACAAGAUAUAUGUAGUAAAAAUAUAUAAAUUAAAUUCAUUAAAAUGAGAUAUAUAAGCACUCCUCUUUAAGUGGCGCCAGGCCUUCAUUUUUUUUUAAUUUUUUUAAUUAUUAAAAUAUUAUAAUUAUAUUAAUUAAAUAAUAUAUUAUUUUUAAAAAUUAGAUAAAUAUUUAAAAUUUAAUAUGAAUAUUUAAAAUUAUAAAAAUUAAAUUUAUUUUUAUUUGACUGUCACUCGUAUGUAAUCACAGAAUAAUAAUACUAAAGAAAAUAACAAUGAAAUAACAUCAGAUUGAUACUGAAGAAAGAUAACCAAGUGUACAAUGCAAUAAAAGAUGAUCCACCGUCUUUGCCAUUAGAAUGCAUUAAAUAGUUGAUAUCCAUCAAAAUAACAAUUAAAAUAAUUCUUUUCCUGAAAAAACACUCCUUUGACCAUAAAAUUCAAUGCAAACAUGACCUAAGUCUACAUCCUGGGAACAAACAUAAAAAAUAAUUAAAAAAAGGUUUUUAAGGCCUAUUUAUUGAUAAAGUUAUGAAUAAAUCACACAUAAAUAUUUGGUCAGUGCAGACAAUGCACAAAACACACAUAAAUAUCUGUAGCUUUCAAGAUCAAUUGUUGUUUCUAUGUGAAUUUUUUUCUUUCAGAAUUCUGUAGUCAUUGGUUGGUUGAACUAAAAUGUAAAUGCAUUUCCAAGAAGUGAGGAACUUUUAUUUUUUAUAUUUCCUUUUUAUGCAAAUUAGAGUUCUUUUAAACAGUUGCAUAAACAGAUUCAUGAAAUAACUUCUUUAAGGAAACUUCUUGUAUGUAUCAUACAUCUAUUGAGUAAACCAUAAUUUUAAGCAGCUAAUAUGGCAUUUUUAGAUUUGUGGUGUAUAAACACCUGGGUGUAGGCAAGUCUUUCUCCAUGUUUAAUUGCUAAUAGAUUGGCUUUAUGUUCAAUUUAUUGUUUUUCUUUUCCUUUUCUCCUUGAAUAUCCUUUCAAAUUUUUAAUUUUGUGAAUUAAUUUUUUCUAACAGAUAUGAGAUCAAGUUAAACAAUGCUAUCCUUGCUGAAGACAAGCACUUGCCUAUGUAAGUUCCUGCUCCAUUAUGCUUUAAUUUAUAUCAAUCUUUUCUUUAUCGGAUUGUUCAUAAACCAUCAGUGAUUGAAACAGAAUAAUUUUUAUGCCUUACUGGGAAAUGGUAUUCAUCCUUUAAUUAUCUUUUCCCCCCUUUUCUUGGCAUGUUUUCAUUGGUUUAGCUCAAUCUUUCAGUUUUUCUAUGAGUGAAAUAUUUUAUUGAUUCUUAAUUCCUUUCCUGAUGGUAUUUUUGCAGGUAUGAAGAAAUGGCUAGCAAAGACAAUGUAGAGUAUAUUGCUGGAGGUAAAAUUAUAAUUUUAAUAGUUUGGAUAUUUAACCAUGCCAUUUGUUUAGAUAUUUCUUGUACAAGUUAUUGAAUAACAAGAUCUAUUGAUGUCUGUCAACUGAUGAGGAUUGCUUUGUUGUGCUUCUUAUAGGUGCUACUAAAAAAAAAAUAAAAGUUGCUCAGGUUUGCUUUCUAUUAUCAUUUGGCAGGGUAGAGAUUUUGACUAUGCUUCUCUAUGGAUCUCAUUCUUUUAUUUUUCCUCUGCUGUUAUAUCUCUUGCAGUGGAUGCUUCAAAUUCCUGGUGCAACAAGUUAUAUGGGCUGUAUUGGAAAGGAUAAGUUUGGAGAGGAGAUGAAGAAAAACUCAAGGCAAGCUGGUGUCAAUGUAACUACUCUGCUUCUUUUAUUUCCUGUUUUUAGGUCAUCUCUUGUGUUUAAGUUUAAUAAGAGUGCUUAUCAGGUACAUUAUUAUGAGGAUGAGACUGCUCCAACAGGGACAUGUGCUGUUUGUGUUGUUGGUGGUGAGAGGUCAGUUUACCUUUUUAGCUUAUAUUUCUAAUUUGCAGUGUUAAUUAAGCCUUGUGCAUUUGAUGGCCACUUUUUCUUGUUGUGAGAUGUUAAUAAAUGAGUUGGCUCACCUUUUGACACUGUCUCUUAAAUAUAUGUGGUCCAUCUGUACAACAAUCAAUUCUUUAUUGCUUCAUGUGCUGAUACUAUGAGGUUGUUUAUUAUGAAUAUGACCAUAAUGCUAUUCUAGUUAAUCAAACUAAAUGUAUCGCUAAAGGUCUUCUAAAGAUUCAACCUAUAAAAAACAAAAAGAUUCAUGCUGGUGGUUUACCACUAUGUAUCCCAUUCUGCAUUAUAUCAAGUUUCUUUUCACGGUAUUGGUGUGCGUAUGCCAGUUGUUAUUUAUAUCAUUCCUAAAGGCUAUGAUAUUUAAAACGUAAAAUUCAGCACUAGCAACAUUCAGAUUUCUCAGACUUCUAAUGUUGGAAAGGAAAAAGAUAUUGAGGCAUUGGUAGCAUAAAGUUAAGCAGUAGUCUCUCAUCUUCAAUAAUUAUGUAAAUUUCAACAAAUUUCAACAAACCCAUUCACAUAAAUUAUGUAAAUUUCAACAAAUUUCAAAUAACGAACAAACUUCAAUAAACAAAAUUCAACAAACUCAUCUACACAAACUCAUCAAAUAACCUGUGGUGGAGCAAUGGAAGAGCUACAGCGAGCAAACUGGAAACGGCUUGACUUGCCGAGGAGAAGCAAACUGGAAACGACCGAUGAGGAGCUGCAGCGACUCUGGACUAAAGACGUGCCAAGGAGAGGCUGGACUCUGGAGAAAUGGAUGCGGCUACUCCCUACCUGCCGCCAGCGUGCUGCUGGCCUGCUGCUGCGUUUUCUUUUUUCUUUGAUUUGGGGAGAGCGAAAAAUUAAAAAAUUUUGAAAUAAAUAAACAAAUGAAAAUUGAGGAGAAGCCAUAAACAGAUAAUAGAGGAGAAACUGAGUAA